UACGUAGGGUGCAAGCGUUAAUCGGAAUUACUGGGCGUAAAGCGUGCGCAGGCGGUUGUGUAAGUCAGAUGUGAAAUCCCCGGGCUCAACCUGGGAAUUGCAUUUGAGACUGCACGGCUAGAGUGUGUCAGAGGGGGGUAGAAUUCCACGUGUAGCAGUGAAAUGCGUAGAUAUGUGGAGGAAUACCGAUGGCGAAGGCAGCCCCCUGGGAUAACACUGACGCUCAGGUGCGAAAGCGUGGGGAGCAAACAGG
rnacentral:rRNA from 1 species